AGGGUCCCCCCAGCUGGGAUCUGAACCCCAAACCUUCAGGGACCUCUAAGAAGCUCUUGUCAUGGCACCAGAGCGGUGGAUCUGAUCAUCUCUCCCGUCUUCCCAGAGCAGAGGCUCCAGAGCCUUGAAGGAACACAAGCUUCCCUCCUCCCAAGGGGUAGGCCCCAAGCCACAGACGGAGAGACUGACGUGGGAGGCCCCUCCAUGCCGCAGGACUCCAGGUGGGGCAGAGCUCGCUGGACAGGCCUCUCUGCGGGCCCCAAGACCGGCCCCAGAGAGGGAGCAUGGAUAGCUCGGAAGGAGGAGAUAGCUCGGAAGGAGGAGCCGUCCCAGGAGAGGGGCUGUGGCUGGGAAAGCCCUGGCAGAGCCCCUGUACCCCAGCUUCCUGCCCUACCCUCCAGGGCGCAGCUCCCAGAGGCCCCGCAGCACCCGCGAUCAGAGGUCUACGGGUUGCACCCACCUUGUGUCGCUCCACAGCUUUGCUCGGGCCAAGCCGCCAGACACAAAGGCCAGGCUGGGGGGUGAUGCUUCCGCAGGUGGGCCCUGCUCCCCAGCCCUCUCCCUGCCUCCCACCAGCCUGGAACCCAGAGACACCGCUCUUGCCAUCCCCACUGAAAGAUGGCAAGGCCCCUAGACGCCCUCCUCCCCAUCCAGCUUGAUGCCCCCACCCGAGAAGGCGCCACUGUGUGGGAGCGGAACAGUGGUGGAGGGCGGCUGCACUUCUUCCUCCAGGCUCCCACCACCCCAGGCAAGAACUGCCCACCAUGGGUAUCACCACCACCGGAAACUGAAGGAACAGAAGAGGGUGGCAAACAGGAGUGCCCAGCCUCCCGCUGGGCUCUGCCACCAACCCUGCGUGACUUGGGCAAGUAGCUGCCUCUUACUGAGGCCUGGGUUUCCUCAUCGCUUAAGCAGGAAGGAAGAUCUCUGUCCCCCUGUCUUCUUUAAGGAGCAAAUUAAAAGAGCUUUGUAAGAGGCAAAGCAUUUGCUACCA